UGGGGAAUAUUGCACAAUGGGGGAAACCCUGAUGCAGCGACGCCGCGUGAGCGAAGAAGUAUUUCGGUAUGUAAAGCUCUAUCAGCAGGGAAGAAAAUGACGGUACCUGACUAAGAAGCCCCGGCUAACUACGUGCCAGCAGCCGCGGUAAUACGUAGGGGGCAAGCGUUAUCCGGAUUUACUGGGUGUAAAGGGAGCGCAGGCGGUCUUGCAAGUCUGAUGUGAAAGCCCGGGGCUCAACCCCGGGACUGCAUUGGAAACUGUGAGACUUGAGUGUCGGAGGGGCAAGUGGAAUUCCUAGUGUAGCGGUGAAAUGCGUAGAUAUUAGGAGGAACACCAGUGGCGAAGGCGGCUUGCUGGACGACAACUGACGCUGAGGCUCGAAAGCGUGGGGAGCAAACAGG
rnacentral:rRNA from 1 species